rnacentral:lncRNA from 1 species
UGUGGAUGUAUCAGUGUAGAUCUACCUGCUAUGAAAUGCUAUAGGACUCAGUCCGGCAUGUUUGUAUGUGAAAAUCUCCAAGAGGACCCCAGGAAAACCUUUUAACUGCACCCCACAUCACUGAACUGCCUGCUUGCCUCAAUACCUUCAUGGUCUAAAACUGCUGUUACUGCUUGUGAGAGGACUCAGUGGAAAAUGUGUUUUACCAACACUUGCUUUACUGUGAGGAAAUUUAAUCCAUGGCACUCUGGUCUUUAGCUUGUAGGGUCCAGGAUAUGAAUGCUUUAUCAGAAAUUUUCCAAACAGGAAGGGACUUGUCGACCAUUAUCAAGCUCCUCAGUGAUAAAGCAGAAGAAUGUGGGAGUAUUUCACUCUAAGCCUCGCACCUGGACAUUGAGAGCUCAUAAACAGAUGGGAUUUUUUCCCAUUUUGUAAUUGGCAGUCUUUAUUAAUCCAGUUUAGACAUCCGGAACACCUGGUAUGGAAACAGCAGAAGUGCCAGGCAAGUUGAAUGAAAUCAAACUGGAAGAAUUCUGUACCAGGCAUGGCCGAGGCACAAGGAGUUUGGCAGCUGGCUUGCUCCAUCCUUCCCCUGGAGACCAGGAAAUGCAGAAUGUCUUUCCCAGGCUAAGCAGAAGCAGAUAUACUGUAGCAGUGCAAGGAGAUAGAUUUAUAUAAUUUCAAAGAACAAAACACGAAGAAAGAACCUUUGAAAUAAA